AGCGGCGAACGGGUGAGUAACACGUGGGUGAUCUGCCUUGCACUUCGGGAUAAGCCUGGGAAACUGGGUCUAAUACCGGAUAUGACCUCCGAUCGCAUGGUCGGUGGUGGAAAGAUUUAUCGGUGCGAGAUGGGCCCGCGGCCUAUCAGCUUGUUGGUGAGGUAACGGCUCACCAAGGCGACGACGGGUAGCCGACCUGAGAGGGUGACCGGCCACACUGGGACUGAGACACGGCCCAGACUCCUACGGGAGGCAGCAGUGGGGAAUAUUGCACAAUGGGCGAAAGCCUGAUGCAGCGACGCCGCGUGAGGGAUGACGGCCUUCGGGUUGUAAACCUCUUUUGACAGGGACGAAGCGCAAGUGACUGUACCUGUAGAAUAAGGACCGGCCAACUACGUGCCAGCAGCCGCGGUAAUACGUAGGGUCCGAGCGUUGUCCGGAAUUACUGGGCGUAAAGAGCUUGUAGGCGGUUCGUCGCGUCGUUUGUGAAAACUUGGGGCUCAACCUUAAGCUUGCAGGCGAUACGGGCGGACUAGAGUACUUCAGGGGAGACUGGAAUUCCUGGUGUAGCGGUGAAAUGCGCAGAUAUCAGGAGGAACACCGGUGGCGAAGGCGGGUCUCUGGGAAGUAACUGACGCUGAGAAGCGAAAGCAUGGGUAGCAAACAGGAUUAGAUACCCUGGUAGUCCAUGCCGUAAACGGUGGGUACUAGGUGUGGGGCUCCUUCCACGGACUCCGUGCCGUAGCUAACGCAUUAAGUACCCCGCCUGGGGAGUACGGCCGCAAGGCUAAAACUCAAAGAAAUUGACGGGGGCCCGCACAAGCGGCGGAGCAUGUGGAUUAAUUUGAUGCAACGCGAAGAACCUUACCUGGGUUUGACAUACACCGGAAACCUGCAGAGAUGUAGGCCCCCUUGUGGUCGGUGUACAGGUGGUGCAUGGCUGUCGUCAGCUCGUGUCGUGAGAUGUUGGGUUAAGUCCCGCAACGAGCGCAACCCUUAUCUUAUGUUGCCAGCGCGUAAUGGCGGGGACUCGUGAGAGACUGCCGGGGUCAACUCGGAGGAAGGUGGGGACGACGUCAAGUCAUCAUGCCCCUUAUGUCCAGGGCUUCACACAUGCUACAAUGGCCGGUACAGAGGGCUGCGAUACCGUGAGGUGGAGCGAAUCCCUUAAAGCCGGUCUCAGUUCGGAUCGGGGUAUGCAACUCGACUCCGUGAAGUUGGAGUCGAGUAGUAAUCGCAGAUCAGCAGUGG
rnacentral:rRNA from 1 species